AUACGUAGGGUGCGAGCGUUGUCCGGAAUUAUUGGGCGUAAAGGGCUUGUAGGUGGCGUGUCGCGUCUGUCGUGAAAGGCUCCGGCUUAACUGGAGUAGUGCGGUGGGUACGGGCAUGCUUGAGUGUGGUAGGGGAGAUUGGAAUUCCUGGUGUAGCGGUGGAAUGCGCAGAUAUCAGGAGGAACACCGGUGGCGAAGGCGGAUCUCUGGGCCAUUACUGACGCUGAGGAGCGAAAGCGUGGGGAGC
rnacentral:rRNA from 1 species